UAGGGAAUCUUCCGCAAUGGACGCAAGUCUGACGGAGCAACGCCGCGUGAGCGAUGAAGGUCUUCGGAUCGUAAAGCUCUGUUGUAAGGGAAGAACAAGUACCAUUCGAAUAGGGUGGUGCCUUGACGGUACCUUACCAGAAAGCCACGGCUAACUACGUG
rnacentral:rRNA from 1 species